CUCGUAGGCGGCCAACUAAGUCAUACGUGAAAUCCCUCAGCUUAACUGGGGAACUGCGUGUGAUACUGGAUGGCUUGGAUUUGGGAGAGGGAUGCGGAAUUCCAGGUGUAGCGGUGAAAUGCGUAGAUACCUGGAGGAACACCGGUGGCGAAGGCGGCAUCCUGGACCAAUAUUGACGCUGAGGAGCGAAAGCCAGGGGAGCAAACG
rnacentral:rRNA from 1 species